rnacentral:lncRNA from 1 species
AACGAUAAUCUUAUAACUUUCCUUAGUGUUUUGCCAGCUCUGCUGAGGGAAUCUCAACAGUCUGAUAGCUCUAACCCAUUUCUGGUCCCUGCUCCUGGACUCCCCCGUCCCUCCCCUCUCAUCCAAACCCCUUCUGGUGUCCAUCCAUUAGGCCUUGACUCACCUUUGCUUCCUAGGGGCGACCUUCAGCUUCGCUUGCAGUUAUGGUCAUCUGCUCUCCACCUGACCCAUUUAUUUUGGCUUCUGGAUUUUGCUCCUAGAGAGGCCCCCUGCUUGGAUAGCUGCCUGGCCAGCUGCAGAGCCAGCUGUUUUCCAGACUUCAAGAGUUCCAUAUCCGGACUUUCAAACCAUGUUCUGGGGUCAUCCAAACAUUCCAUCCUCCUGACUCCAUAAACUACUGGAUUCAUAACCGGCUCCAUACUUGAAAACAUGGGGAUUGGAAUUCGUUGGUUUCUGCCUGAGAGAGAACCUGCUCCACCUCGGCUGGCCCUAUCUUUGCUCCAAGAGUCGCCUUGUAUACCUGUCGUACACCCUUUGGGGUGUAGGGAAGGUGAAGUACCCUGUUUUUGCAACCAGAUAGAUGGUUGUCAUCCUUUGAACUGAUGUGUCAUCCUUUCUAGUACAAGGCUCAGUACUAGGCACCAAGGACUGCUGCAGAUGCUCUCAAUCACUAUUGUUCAUAACCUAAAAGAGACAACAAAAUUUGGAAUAAUUCAAUGACCGUAUGACCUUGAGCAAGCAACUUAAUCUCUCUCUAAAAUAAGGAUCUCAUGCCUGGACAACAUGGCAAAAAAUACAAAAUUACAAAAAAUACGAAAAUUAGCUAGGCAUGGCGGUAUGCACCUGUAGUCCCAGCCACUCAGGAGGCUGAAGUGGAAGGAUCACUUGAGCCCAGGAGGUCGAGACUGCAGUGAGUUAUGAUGGCACCACUACAUUCCAACCUGGGUGACAGAUGAAGACUUUCUCAAAACAAACAGACAAACAAACAAAAAAUCGCUAUUUCACAAAGUCAUUGUACUAAAUACUUGGGAUUAUAUAUGAAAAUACUUAGCAAAAAUCUUAGAACAUAGUUGCAAGUGUAGAUUGAAUUUAUGUGAAGUAUAUAAUAAUCCACAGAAACUCAAAUGGAGAGAUGGACCCAAAUCAAAAUCGUCUGCCUGUAGCCAUUUGUUAAAUCAGUUUCACUUUCAAAUUUAGCUAAAUCUACCUAUGAUUUUGCUUUAAAGUCCACAUUCAGAACAAAAGAAGUACUUCCAUGAUAAUCUAUUCAGACAGAUUUCAUAACAGGAGCUGACAAGGGUUUAUUUAGGAGAAAAUGAUAUGUAAACCAGUAGAAGAAGGAAGAUUAGGUAGAUAAAAUGUCUAUUUCAAAAUAAAUGAAGAAGGGACAAUUAUCUGACACCAGAACAUUCCGAUGGUGAUAUAAUUAUAAAAUAGACUUGUUUUUGUAAGUUGGGGAUUCAAAAAAUGUUUAUUGACCUUAAAGGAAUAACCUUUUUAUAACUGAAUGAGAAACCAUGCAGUACCUUGCAUUAACUAGUAAUAUACUAAAAAUAUCCGCUAACUAUCUUUCUGUUUAAUUGCAUCUGCUGUCACGGACUUACAUUUAUUUCAGUGAUACAAAAAGAGUGAUUUGAUUUGGUAACUGCCUGUCCUCUCUGCAUAUCAGAAAAUGCGAAGGAGAAGUCUUCCCUCUGACUCACUUAGCUGUGAAAACAAGACUCUGCCAAGUUGUUGGAAACAAACACCGUAGUAAAACUACAAGAAAAUUCUGCUAAGAAACCUUUUCCCAUCUGCAAAUUACUUGACUAAAACCUGAGGUGCUGGAUUUCAGCGCAAAGGUGACUUUGGAGGAGAAAGUUUGUGCCAAACUUAGAUCUGUUGUUUUUGUGUUAUGUAAGAAGGAGAAAAAAAUUAACUGUUUACUCCUAAGCUAUAAAUUUAAGAUUAUUUAUCUAUUACACCAAAUAACAGAAUUUCCAAACCUCUGUAGCUUUACUUUAGAGCUAUGUUUUCAUAAACUAUGAUCUGUACUCAAUCAAAACUAAAUGUAAUUGAAUAUUAAAUAAUUAGCCUUGCCCAUUUAUUUAAAUAAUACUGGACAAAGUUAUUUUAUUCACUGUGUCGGAAGUGAAUUAUAGUUGAAUUGCAAAAAUAGCAUUGUUAAACAGUGAAAAUAUUUGUCUUUUUAAAUAACUUUUCCCUAAUUAUAAAAAAUACAUGUGUAGCAUAAAAAAAUAGAAUACAGAGUAAAAAGAAGAAAAUAAAAAUCGGCAAGUCACCCAUAAUCUGUCACCCAAAGAGAUCAUCAUUAAAAUUUUGUUUUUAAUUUAUACACAGACACAAACACACACAUGCACACAGAUACACAUACCAGAAUAUUCAUUAUAUAUUAAUGCAUAUUAAUGGUUUAUUAUAGAAAAAUUAAACAUAAGGAAAAGUAGGCAGAAAGCAUAAAGGAUCCCAUCUACCUAUCAACCCAUGUCUAACCCAUCAAUAUCCUCUUCCUCUCCCCAUCUUACUUUAUUUUGAAGCAAAUUCCAGAUAUUACAUUAUUUCAUCCAUAAAUUUUUUUCUUCAUUUGAGACAGAGUCUCACUCUGUCACUCAGACCGGAGUGCAAUGGCAUGAUCUCGGCUCACUGCAACCUCUGCCUCCCCAGUCCAAGCGAUUCUCCUGCCUUAGCUUCCUGAGUAGUUGGGACUGCAGGUGCGUGCCACCAUGCCCAGAUAAUUUUUGUAUUUUUAGUAAAGAUGGGGUUUCACCAUUGUUGGCCAGGAUGAUCUCGAUCUCUUGACCUUGUGAUCUGCCCACCACCACACCUGGCCCCAUAAAUUUUGACUCAUUCCUGUAAUUCCAACACUUUGGGAGGCCCUGGGCAGAAGGAUCACUUGAGGCCAUUAGUUUGAGCCCAGCCUGGCCUAUAUAGCAAGGCUUUGACUCUACAAAGAAUUUAAAAAUUAGCCAUGCGUGUGGUGAGUGCCCGUAAUCCCAGCUACUGGGGAGGAUAAGGUGGGAGGAUCAUUUGAACCCAGGAGUUCAAGGCUGCAGUGAGCUACAAUUGUGCCACUGCACUCCAGCCUGGGUGACAGACUGAGACCCUGUCUAAAAUAUAUACAUUUCAGCAUGAAUAUUUAACAGAUAAGGACUUGUAAAAAAACAACCAUUAUCACAUCUAAAUUAACUAAUACUAUUUUUUAAUAGUAUGAAAUAUUCAGUGUUUGAAGUUUUGUCUCACAAAUCCUAUAACUUACUUUUAUAGCUUGCUUGUUUGAAGGAGGAUCCAAAUAAGCUUCAUGCACUGAAGUCAGUUCAUAUGUCUCUUAAAUCUUGUUUAACUUAAAUCUCUUAAAUCUCUUUUAAUCUCAUUUUUUUCCUUGUAACUUAUUUGUUGCAAAAAACAAGCUGUUUGUCCUGUAGAACGUCCCACAGUCUGGAUUUUUCUGAUUGCAGAAAAAUAUAUAUAUUCACAUCUUAAAUAUAAGUAAUUUUAGUAAUUUUUACUAUGUGGAAAUAUACAAGGUGAGCCUAUGCCAUCUUGUACCACACAGCAGGAGAGCUAUCAAAAACUACUAGGGUCGUGUAAAAAGAUGUCAGGAACCAAUUUGAAGAUGCUAUCACAGACCAACGAGGAUAACUUGAGCAUUAAUAAGAAUAAUAAAUAAUAUGUACAGAAGCACAUUAAAUACACCUCAGUGAAUAGUCAAAUUAUAAUUAGAAUAGAGAAAACAAAAGUUAUUUAAAAAUAAGACAAAGGUACACAAUAUCUAAAAAUCUCUUGUGAUGUUACCUAGAUCUAUUAUUAGUUCAUUAAGGAUUGUAAUAAUAUAUACAGAAGCACAUUAAAAUAUAUACGUAUUUUUUAUAAAUAUUUAUUUAUAUAAAAUAUAAAUAAAAUUUAUAUUUAUAUUAAAUAUGUA